rnacentral:lncRNA from 1 species
CAGCACUGGGCCAGACAAUUCUCCAUGCCCUACAGGACAGGUAAGAUCGCCCCAACCCACACCCACCAGGCUGCAACAGCAAGCAGGAAGGUGACAGAAUCGGGCCAGGACGGGAGUCAACCGUUGCAUCAGGAUGACGGGGCACGGACAGCCUUGGGAUGAGACCACACCACAGCAGACUCCUGGCCGCUCUCCGCUUGAGAACCUGUACAGAAAGAAUGCCGACACUCUACCGGACAGCUGGACACACUGACAGCGAGCAAAUGAAGCCAUGGCACACUCCUGGCCUCUCCCUUUGAGAAGUCAUCUAGAAAUGUGUCAGCGUUCUCCAGGACAGGUAAGAUAGCCCCAACCCACACCCCACCACAGUCUCAGAGUAAGCAGGACAGUGACACGCUCAGGCCAGGACAGCAGUGACCACUCCAUCAGGACGACGGGACACGGACAGCCUUGGUGAGACGCUAGAGACCCUCGGGCACAGAGGCAGGGGCUGCCCGUGGUCACAG